rnacentral:misc_RNA from 1 species
GAUGAAGAACGUAGCGAAAUGCGAUAAGUAAUGUGAAUUGCAGAAUUCAGUGAAUCAUCGAGUCUUUGAACGCACAUUGCGCCCCCUGGUAUUCCGGGGGGCAUGCCUGUCCGAGCGUCAUUGCUGCCCUCAAGCACGGCUUGUGUGUUGGGCCUCCGUCCUCCUCCCGGGGGACGGGCCCGAAAGGCAGCGGCGGCACCGCGUCCGGUCCUCGAGCGUAUGGGGCUUCGUCACCCGCUCUUGUAGGCCCGGCCGGCGCUUGCCGACACAUCAUCUUUUUUCCAGGUUGACCUCGGAUCAGGUAGGGAUACCCGCUGAACUUAAGCAUAUCAAUAAGCGGAGGA